UGCUAAUACCGGAUAACAACAGAUGAUGCCUAUCAACUGUUUAAAAGUAUGGUUCUGCUAUCACUCUUGGAUGGACCUGCGGUGCAUUAGCUAGUUGGUAGGGUAACGGCCUACCAAGGCGAUGAUGCAUAGCCGAGUUGAGAGACUGAUCGGCCACAUUGGGACUGAGACACGGCCCAAACUCCUACGGGAGGCAGCAGAG
rnacentral:rRNA from 1 species